GGGGAGAGUUCCGUGUCCUGGCACCGCGAGUCUGCGGUGCUGGGAGAAGGGGCACCUGGGCUGCGGUGCGCAAGGGACCGGAGCUAGGAGCCAGGCAGUGCAGAUACUCACCGCUGAGCAUCACCCGCUGUGACCUAGGACCCUGAGGAUCAGUGGCAGCAACGGAAAUGCAUCUAGGAGAUUCUUCGCCUUGAAGAAGAAAAAAGGCAUCCCCAGAGAGAGGUGACCCAAGCCUCCCCUUGAACAGAACUGCUCAGACUUCUGAUCAGCCAUGGUGGUGAAAAGAUCUGUUUUCAGAAAUCCCCAGGGAUACGCAGAAUUUUAGCACACUCGUUAACGGCUCAAUAUAUUACAGGAAGACUGAAAGACUAAGCUUGGCAGGGUAUGCUUCCAACACUGGAUAAGGUAUGUGAAUGAUCAGGAGUUUGCAGUUUACUGUUAUGGAUGACAGGACACGGUAUGACGGAGAGCUCUGAUAACAGCUGUACACAACUUUGUAACCAACCCUCUUCCUAACAAGCUUGAAACUCAGGCCAGGCUAACCCAACCUUCUGGUGGGCUUGGGCUGAAGUCUGAGUCAACUUGGGCCAAUGUGAGUUUCUGCAAAACAUUACAGCUCAAAACAUAACAGCUUCACAAAACAAACAAACAAACAAACAUGUAAAACUUGUCAAUUUCAGCUGUGAUUUAUGAGUUUAAUUUGUUUCAAUCCAAAACUCAGCAUAACUCUUAAGGGUGUGAAACCAGAAAAAGGUUCAGAUGAAUUCCUGUGAACCAGACUUGUGGGUACCUUUGUCACAGAUCGGACCUCAACAAGAUCUCACAGUUUAAAUUAAACUUCUGAUGCAAAAACUAAAGGCUGCUGUUGAGAAGGAGGAGAAACUGCAAGUAUCUCCGAGGAAACAUG